rnacentral:misc_RNA from 1 species
GCCUUACUUCUUGAUACUCGAGCAUAACUGAUCCAAAUUAUGGUUAACCAUCAUAUGGUGGCAUAGAUGUAACUCUAAAUAAAAAUUAAGGGUUUCUCUUACUAGCCAACUAAUGGUGGCGUAAUUAUAAAAAUGAGUAAGGAAAUUAGCUGGCUCUUUCAAUUAUAAAAAAAAAGUGGCACUUUUGUGUAAUAAAGAUAAACAAAGAUGGCCAAUUUGAAUCAUUAAAAUUUGGUGGCAUAAGUG